AAUUCUCAAACCGGGAUGCUUUUUUGUUUCUCGGCUUGGUGUUGGGCUUUGCAGUUCCUUUGAUUGGGAUGGCUGGCCUGAAAAGCAUUAGCUGGCUUUUAAUGUGGCAUUGGUUUCUACUCAGCGUGAUAAUGAUUUGACCGCCGAGGACAUCUGACGAGAUGGCCAAUUCUCAUUUGGGCUGCUUCUAACGUUGGUUGAGCAGAUUCUGAAUCUGCUCCACUUUUUUGGC
rnacentral:misc_RNA from 1 species